GACACGAGAGAAGCGGACUGCAAGUCCUGUGGGAAGAAGGCUCCGCCUACCCUUCCUCAUUCUGUUUGCAGAUGUCACAGCUCCCACAGGUGUGUAGGCACAGGAUGCCUUCUGGUUCAGCUGAACUCCUGGCCAAAGAAAUGGAGGCUCUUUCAGCUCUUCCUUUCAAGUCAAGAGCAUUCAAAAGGGAUACGCCGAUGGGAGAAUACACCCAUCCUUGUAGCUCAAGAAAAGGCAAGAAUAAAAGAAUAAACAAUAGCCAUACCAUUCCAUGCCAGCUGCUAUAAUUACUAUCCAUUGUCAACUUGACGGUAUUUCGAAUCAUACUGGAAACAAGAUUCUGAGUGUGUCAAUAUUUCCCGAGUGGAAGAAGGAAGACCACACUCUGAGGACCAACCACAGAACUGGAGUGCCCAGACUGAAUAAAAAAAGAGAGAAUGAAGAUCUGAGCUCUCUGUUUCUUGCUGCCCCGCCUCCAUACCGAAACGGACUGUCAUCUCUCUGGGACGUAUCUAAACCUUUCCUUCUAUAAUACUUCCUGGUUCUGGGGCCUGGCAGUGCAUGCUGUUGGUCAAGAUAUUUUAUCACAGCAACAGAACAGUAACUGAUCCACCAGCCAGAGGACUAACCUUGCAGGACUUUCUAAGGAUAGGAGUUUCAGGCCCUCCGUAUGAACACUGAUGUACAAUUAGCUGCAAUAAGGGACAGCACUAUGGAACAAAGGUUUCACCCUUCGUAGGUUUCCUAAGUACUCCUAGUGUCUGAGAAACACAUUUAUCCUGUCUGUUUAGAGGUUGGGAAUCUCUCUGGGAGUUCUAGACCAGCCAGAUACACGGUGAGACCUUGUCUCCAAAACAACAACAACAAUACCAAUAAAAACCCCAAACAAAGACAACAACACAGAGACGCAGUACUUUAGGGCUGGACACUGUAGUGCAAGAUUAACUCCAGCACUCAAGAGGGAAAGGAGAGGAGUCCAAACAGUCUGGGUAACAUAGGGACUCUGACGAUCAGCACAGGACACAUAGUGAGAGCCUUCACUAAGAAACUGCAAUGAAGGUGAGGGUGAGGGUGGGUGGGAAAGAUGGCUCAGCAGCUAAAAGCAUUGCUAUUCUUGCAGUGACCAGGGUUCGCUUCCCAGCACUCAUGUGGCUGCUCAUAGCCAUCUGUAACUACACUUCCAGGGAAUCCAAUGCCCUUUCUGAUUUCCUUGGGUACCAGGCACACGCACUGUGUGCAUACAAGCAGCAAAAUACUAGUACAUAUAACAUUCAAAAAUCUAAAACACAAACAACAACAAACCCUAAAACCCACAAUGGGGCUGGAAAGAUGAUUUAGCAUUCAAAAGCACUUUUAACCCUUCUGUGGACCAAAGUUGGGUUUCUGGGAUCCAUGAUAGACAGCUCACAAUUGUGCCUAACUCCAUAACUCCACUCCAAUGGAUCUGACACCCUCUGUUGGCCUCCACAAGUACCCACAACUAUGUGGCAUUCGUGUAAACCACAUACACUAAUAAAUAUAUAAAUGCAGUUUAUUCAGUCUGUAUAUUACUCUUAUCUUUUAAAAAAUUACCACCAGCAACAUGUAUGACUUAAAAACCACAGUUUUAGUCUGACUUCCUUCGCCAAGCAUUUUCUUCUAAAAAUGCCACUGAAAACGGAGAGACCAUUAAGGACCUGAUAACAGCUACUCUCACAAAUUCCUAGUAUAGGAAUAGAAUAAAACACAUAUACUCACAACCCAGGGGUCAGGUUAAAGAAACCUGAUCAAACUGCACACACACAUCUUUGCAAGUCUAUAUGAAUAUAAUUGUGCAUACAAAAAGUAACUUAUGUCCAGUUAUUCAUUCCAACAAUGCCAAUCCUAUAAUCUACAUGUCCAUCAAAAGGUCACUAUUUACAUUGUGGUACAUCUGUAUAGUAGGUGACUCUGUGACCGCUUUUAAAGGCUAUUAACUCAUCAGCUUCCCUCCACAGGUAGUUAGGAAAAGGUUACAGUGUGUUACGCUAUACAAUGCAUGUUUUUACAUUAUGAAGGAGGUAAAUACAAACUCAUUUGCUUAUGUAGGCAUUCUACAGAGGAUGUUUUUGACACUGACAACAAAGGCUGAGGGAGAGGCAAAAGUUUAGGUGAAAUCUGUGUAUCCAGAAAAAAAUAAGAAUGCUUUUUUUUUCAACCCAAGUUGUAUCAGUGUAUCUUUUUGCCUGUCGUUUUAACCAUCUGACGUCCUGCAGUGUCUAGAGCAUAAAACCACAUUAUUUUCCAAAGCAGAUGCCAACCCCUUCCUUCUCCACCAGGUUCAUGUUGAAGGGAUUGUGCCAGGGUACCUGAGGCAGCACCAAUUCUCUGAGCCUCUCUGCUCCCAGCUGGUUCUGGAGGCGACACGGGAGCUUUUGUUUUUUGUUCACUGCCUUAUUCCAACCCUGAAAAGAACGCCUGGCAAACAGAUGGUGUUCAGUAAGUAUCUCUAGAAUAGAUCAAUUCUUUUCUUCCACCAGCUUCCAUGGGACAGACACUGCUACACAGAUGACGAGGCAUACAGCUCUCCAGUAUUUAGAAAUGCUUACAUUCCCAAUCUCAGCUCAGUAUUGGCAUUCUAACCCUAGCAACAUUCCUGGAAUCUUUCUGAAUUUCACAGAGGACA